rnacentral:tRNA from 1 species
AUUGUCUUGGCAGAUUAAUUGUAAUAAAUUUAGAAUUUAUUUAUGUAAUAAAUAUUACAGGCAAUA